UUCAGGCAGAUAUGUGCUGAGUUCCUAGGAGCAAGCACCAUUUCUUAACCUGUUUUAGAAGAGCUUGUUUUGAUGUUCCUCUCAAUGCUCUGUUGCAUGAAAUUAAAGUGAAACCCUGCUGUUACUUUACAAAAGAAGAAACAAAUAUGUUCCUAUCUGAAGAUAAAGAAAGCUGGCAUUAACAGAGUAAUUAUUACAGAAUGGACCCACCACAGGGAAAUAAAUUGAGAGUAAAGAAACGUGUCUCAUCUCAAGAUGAUAUGAAAGAUACUUCUGAAGUUAUCUUAAGAUUUUAAAACCAGAAAGACAAAUAAUGCUCAAGAAUUUCAAGUCUGGUGAAAGCAUUUCACUGCUCCAUGACUCUUGCAAAGAGGCCUGUUUUUUCAGACUGCCUUUAUCAGUUAUCCAUCAUGACCACGUCUUUCUGGACAGGACUCUUUGGGGGUGCAGUGCUGCCCUGUCAAGAAGAUGGCUUGUAUCCUGUGGUGUAUACAGAAACAACUAAACCAAUGAUGUACUGUGAAUUGUUAAAAAGUUCCCAGCUCUGAUUUCACAAUUACCAGGUUUGUGCUGAUGCAUAAAAUUACACUGGGAUGGAAAUACCAUGGUGAACCAGACUGGAACACAAAUGGUUGUGAGUUUUUCAUGUUUGCCUAAAGCCAGGUGAGUGCUGGUGAACCAGAAAAGC